GGCGAACGGGUGAGUAACACGUGGGUGAUCUGCCCUGCACUCUGGGAUAAGCUUGGGAAACUGGGUCUAAUACCGGAUAUGACUACAGCAUGCAUGUGUUGUGGUGGAAAGAUUUAUCGGUGCAGGAUGGGCCCGCGGCCUAUCAGCUUGUUGGUGGGGUAAUGGCCUACCAAGGCGACGACGGGUAGCCGACCUGAGAGGGUGACCGGCCACACUGGGACUGAGACACGGCCCAGACUCCUACGGGAGGCAGCAGUGGGGAAUAUUGCACAAUGGGCGGAAGCCUGAUGCAGCGACGCCGCGUGAGGGAUGAAGGCCUUCGGGUUGUAAACCUCUUUCAGCAGGGACGAAGCGUGAGUGACGGUACCUGCAGAAGAAGCACCGGCUAACUACGUGCCAGCAGCCGCGGUAAUACGUAGGGUGCGAGCGUUGUCCGGAAUUACUGGGCGUAAAGAGUUCGUAGGCGGUUUGUCGCGUCGUUUGUGAAAACCCGGGGCUCAACUUCGGGCUUGCAGGCGAUACGGGCAGACUUGAGUGUUUCAGGGGAGACUGGAAUUCCUGGUGUAGCGGUGAAAUGCGCAGAUAUCAGGAGGAACACC
rnacentral:rRNA from 1 species